rnacentral:rRNA from 1 species
AGAGUUUGAUCCUGGCUCAGGACGAACGCUGGCGGCACGCUUAACACAUGCAAGUCGAACGAGAGAAGAGAAGCUUGCUUUUCUGAUCUAGUGGCGGACGGGUGAGUAACACGUGAGCAAUCUGCCUUUCAGAGGGGGAUACCGAUUGGAAACGAUCGUUAAUACCGCAUAACAUAAUUGAACCGCAUGAUUUGAUUAUCAAAGAUUUAUCGCUGAAAGAUGAGCUCGCGUCUGAUUAGCUAGUUGGUAAGGUAACGGCUUACCAAGGCGACGAUCAGUAGCCGGACUGAGAGGUUGAUCGGCCACAUUGGGACUGAGACACGGCCCAGACUCCUACGGGAGGCAGCAGUGGGGAAUAUUGCACAAUGGAGGAAACUCUGAUGCAGCGAUGCCGCGUGAGGGAAGAAGGUUUUAGGAUUGUAAACCUCUGUCUUUGGGGACGAAAAAUGACGGUACCCAAGGAGGAAGCUCCGGCUAACUACGUGCCAGCAGCCGCGGUAAUACGUAGGUCACAAGCGUUGUCCGGAAUUACUGGGUGUAAAGGGAGCGCAGGCGGGAAGACAAGUUGGAAGUGAAAUCCAUGGGCUCAACUCAUGAACUGCUUUCAAAACUGUUUUUCUUGAGUAGUGCAGAGGUAGGCGGAAUUCCCGGUGUAGCGGUGGAAUGCGUAGAUAUCGGGAGGAACACCAGUGGCGAAGGCGGCCUACUGGGCACCAACUGACGCUGAGGCUCGAAAGUGUGGGUAGCAAACAGGAUUAGAUACCCUGGUAGUCCACACUGUAAACGAUGAUUACUAGGUGUUGGAGGAUUAACCCCUUCAGUGCCGCAGUUAACACAAUAAGUAAUCCACCUGGGGAGUACGACCGCAAGGUUGAAACUCAAAGGAAUUGACGGGGGCCCGCACAAGCAGUGGAGUAUGUGGUUUAAUUCGACGCAACGCGAAGAACCUUACCAAGUCUUGACAUCCUGCGACGGUGCUGGAAACAGUACUUUCCUUCGGGACGCAGAGACAGGUGGUGCAUGGUUGUCGUCAGCUCGUGUCGUGAGAUGUUGGGUUAAGUCCCGCAACGAGCGCAACCCUUAUGGUCAGUUACUACGCAAGAGGACUCUGGCCAGACUGCCGUUGACAAAACGGAGGAAGGUGGGGAUGACGUCAAAUCAUCAUGCCCUUUAUGACUUGGGCUACACACGUACUACAAUGGCGUUAAACAAAGAGAAGCAAGACCGCGAGGUGGAGCAAAACUCAGAAACAACGUCCCAGUUCGGACUGCAGGCUGCAACUCGCCUGCACGAAGUCGGAAUUGCUAGUAAUCGCAGAUCAGCAUGCUGCGGUGAAUACGUUCCCGGGCCUUGCACUCACCGCCCGUCA